CCUACGGGGGGCUGCAGUAGGGAAUCUUCCACAAUGGACGAAAGUCUGAUGGAGCAACGCCGCGUGAGUGAAGAAGGGUUUCGGCUCGUAAAGCUCUGUUGGUAGUGAAGAAAGAUAGAGGUAGUAACUGGCAUUUAUUUGACGGUAAUUACUUAGAAAGGCAAGGCUAACUACGUGGCAGCAGGUGAGGUAAUACGUAGGUGGCAAGCGUUGUCCGGAUUUAUUGGGCGUAAAGCGAGUGCAGGCGGUUCCAUACGUAUGAUGUGAAAGCCUUCGGCUCAACCGGUGAAUUGCAUCAGAAACUGUUGAACUUGAGUGCAGAAGAGGAGAGUGGAACUCCAUGUGUAGCGGUGGAAUGCGUAGAUAUAUGGAAGAACACCAGUGGCGAAGGCGGCUCUCUGGUCUGCAACUGACGCUGAGGCUCGAAAGCAUGGGUAGCGAACAGGAUUAGAUACCCCGGUAGUC
rnacentral:rRNA from 1 species